GAGUUUUUGGAAGUUAUAUCUGUAAGGGAGAGAGAGAGUCAUGAUUAUGCAGAGGAAGAAGCUGACUCCUGAAGUGGUUGAGCUGAAGAAGUCUCAGCUAAUGCUACGGUAAAGAAACUGAAGCAAAUGGUUUUUAAAUAAAUGGGAAAGCUGGAUUCAAACCUAUGCCAUCUAGUUCCAGACCCUGAUAUGUUCCAGACCCCAGUGAAAUGAAAUAAUGUACAUCAAGUCCAUAUGGAGCAAAAGCUAAGCUGAUGAAGUUGGGAAGCAGAAGCUGAAACUCUCAGAGAAACUGUAUCUUUGGUCCCUUGGAGCCAGUUUGCAAGUGAAAAGAACAAGGUGAAGAGUGGUGUUGAGCAGCCAGGUUAUGCUCUAGAAUAUGCUCCCAGAGACCAGGUGUUUGAGAUGAAAGGACCCCAGCUUCUCUUAGAGGAGAAGCACCAAGAACAACUGAUCACCAUGCGAGAUUGUGGCAUAAGAGAGAACUCAAAACUCUGUUACCUUAGGCCACAGAGUUUUGGGCUUUUUACAGUAGCGCGUGUGUUACUUCACAAGUACGAACACUGACAAGGAAAUUAUUGAAAUGUGGGAUCAACAUCCCACAUGAUAAGCCCAUGUGCUUGCUCCUCGGUCCAUCACCAUCGAUCAGGUCCCUGAUCUCUGCCCGUGGGCCUGGCAGAGGAAUGGCUGCACGGACCUGUGGAGCCCAAGUGUGCGGAGGCCAUAAUUUCAGGCUAACGAACGCUCCGCAGGCUCCUUUGCUGCUUGCCAGCUCUCGGCUUUGUGUGCUGGAAACAUCUUGAACAAAGUGUCAUGAAGAGCAUCUUGGCUGUGUCCUGCUGACUGAGGACAUGGGGCUGCCGAGUUUGCCAUCUGCCUGCAGCCUCUCUG